rnacentral:rRNA from 1 species
UGCAGUCGAGUGCGCGGUUGUAGCAAUACAACUGGCGCACGGCGCACGGGUGCGUAACACGUGGGUAACCUGCCCUUUGGUGGGGAAUAACCUCGCGAAAGCGAGGCUAAUUCCGCAUAAGAUCCGCAAGGAUGAAAGCCGUAAGGCGCCGAAGGAGGGGCCCGCGCACGAUUAGCUAGUUGGUAGGGUAACGGCCUACCAAGGCGAUGAUCGUUAGCUGGUCUGAGAGGAUGGCCAGCCACACUGGAACUGAGACACGGUCCAGACUCCUACGGGAGGCAGCAGUGGGGAAUCUUGCGCAAUGGGCGAAAGCCUGACGCAGCGACGCCGCGUGGGGGAUGAAGCUUCUCGGAGUGUAAACCCCUUUCGACUGGGACGAAUACCUCGCAAGAGGGGUGACGGUACCAGUAGAAGAAGCCCCGGCUAACUACGUGCCAGCAGCCGCGGUAAGACGUAGGGGGCCAGCGUUGUUCGGAAUUACUGGGUGUAAAGGGUUCGUAGGCGGUGUGGCAAGUCGGGAGUGAAAUUUCUGGGCUUAACUCAGAGACUGCUUCCGAAACUGCUGUGCUGGAGUGUGGGAGAGGCGCGUGGAAUUGCAGGUGUAGCGGUGAAAUGCGUAGAUAUCUGCAGGAACACCCGUGGCGAAAGCGGCGCGCUGGACCACUACUGACGCUGAGGAACGAAAGCUAGGGGAGCAAACAGGAUUAGAUACCCUGGUAGUCCUAGCCCUAAACGAUCAGGACUUGGGGUGCCACCCGUUCGGGUGUCGUCCCGGAGCUAACGCGUUAAGUCCUGCACCUGGGGGGUACGGUCGCAAGACUGAAACUCAAAGGAAUUGACGGGGGCCCGCACAAGCGGUGGAACAUGUGGUUCAAUUCGACGCUACGCG